rfam:Lupinus angustifolius cultivar Tanjil contig_30766, whole genome shotgun sequence.
UUUGUGGGGAAUGCCGCCUGGUCCAAGGAGAUAACACUAUCUUUAGAACUUAUCAUAUAUAAAUAUGAUGUAUCAUGUAUGAUAAGUUAGUAUUUCUCUUAUGAAUUAGUGUCUUCUCGGACCAGGCUUCAUUCCCCUCAAU